GGGGCAGCCUAUACAUGCAAGUCGAGCGGACAGAUGGGAGCUUGCUCCCUGAUGUUAGCGGCGGACGGCUGAGUAACACGUGGGUAACCUGCCUGUAAGACUGGGAUAACUCCGGGAAACCGGGGCUAAUACCGGAUGGUUGUUUGAACCGCAUGGUUCAAACAUAAAAGGUGGCUUCGGCUACCACUUACAGAUGGACCCGCGGCGCAUUAGCUAGUUGGUGAGGUAACGGCUCACCAAGGCAACGAUGCGUAGCCGACCUGAGAGGGUGAUCGGCCACACUGGGACUGAGACACGGCCCAGACUCCUACGGGAGGCAGCAGUAGGGAAUCUUCCGCAAUGGACGAAAGUCUGACGGAGCAACGCCGCGUGAGUGAUGAAGGUUUUCGGAUCGUAAAGCUCUGUUGUUAGGGAAGAACAAGUACCGUUCGAAUAGGGCGGUACCUUGACGGUACCUAACCAGAAAGCCACGGCUAACUACGUGCCAGCAGCCGCGGUAAUACGUAGGUGGCAAGCGUUGUCCGGAAUUAUUGGGCGUAAAGGGCUCGCAGGCGGUUUCUUUAGUCUGAAGUUAAAGCCCCCGGCUC
rnacentral:rRNA from 1 species